rnacentral:rRNA from 1 species
CCCUUAGAUGUCCUGGGCCGCACGCGCGUUACACUGAUGCAUUCAACGAGCUUAUAACCUUGGCCGAGAGGCCUGGGCAAUCUUGUUAACGUGCAUCGUGAUAGGGAUAGAUUAUUGAAAUUAUUAAUCUUGAACGAGGAAUUCCUGGUAAACGCAGAUCAUCAAUCUGCAUUGAUUACGUCCCUGCCCUUUGUACACACCGCCCGUCGCUCCUACCGAUUGAGUGGUCCGGUGAGGCUUUGGGAUCUGAGCGGAAAGAGCGUUUCGCUGUUUCUGCUCGGAAAACUCAGUCGAACCUUAUCAUUUAGAGGAAGGAGAAGUCGUAACA